GUUUUACGAUAAUAUUUGAUAAAUAUAUUAAUAAUAAUCGCGUUUGUUUUCUUAUCUAUUUUACGUUCAUUCAUAUUACGGGCAUGCCAAAAUUUGAUGUAUGGUAUUAUAGGAUGUAUAUAAAUAUAAUGCGUCUAUGUGAUUAUUCCGCAACAAGAUAUAUGAUAAUUGAAGACAAAAUUGAGAAUUUUUCUUAUAAUACUACUGACGUAUUCGACGAGAGAGAAAAGCUGUUCCACUUAAUUAUUUGUUAUCGUCAUAUUAGCUCUCUUAAUCAUUUACAUAUAUAUGUAUAUAUAUAUAUAUAGAUAUAUUAAGUAUCGAGAGAAUCAUGAUUAUGAGGUAGAUAUCAUCAUCUUCAAUAUAAAUUAGGCUUCUAUUCGUAACGAUUCGGUUUUUCGAAGUUUACGAACUUAAACAUUACGCACGUGUGUUUAUUCGGAAUAAAUUGAGUAUCAAAAAUGAAAGAUAUGAUACCAAGGUGAUACGAAGGGUACAGAUGUGCAUGAUUUUUACAGUAAAUAGGAUAACUGUUAUCCUUCUCAUCAUUUUAAUUAAGAAUUAUUUAAUUCAUUUAUAUCGUCAAAAUUUUAUUUUUUAACGGUAUAAAGAGACAGCUUCAAUAAGAAUAUUUAUUAAGUGCAAUUUAAUCUAGGGGUUUUUUUUCAAAGAAAACGUUAUCUUUUUGACGCCACGAUAAAAUAUUUCAGUGAUAAAGGCCGCGGAAAAAACAAUCCGAACAGUUAUUUCUAAGCUAUUUAUAUCAUUUCUUUAAGUAUUAAAAAGAGUUAAUGGAUUAAUUGAAAUGGAUUAAAGUUAAAAUCGUGACACAGAUUCAAGCUCCACAGAAAAUAUAAUAAUAAUAAACAUGUGAUAAUUCCAAUACGUACGUAAAUGAGAUCGAUCAACCAAUCAAAUCUAUCAGGAAUCGUAUUACCUCGUCAGAAAUCGGUAAAUUUUUUAAUAACUCCUUUAUAAUAAUUGUUUUAACUUCCCCCCCCCCCUCCCCUUCGUAAAAUUUAAUACGGAGUAUUAAGUACGGAGUAAAAGAAAAAAAG